ACAUUCAUUAUCCUCUUUAAUUCUCUUAAGAAUUGUAUGAGGUAGGUCCUAUUAUUACCUCUAUCUUACAAGGAAACUGAGGAUCAGACAAGGAUAUCUAGCUUAUCCAUGAUUAGGUAGAGCUGACAAUGGGAUUAAAUAAUCAAGUCCUGCUACUGCCAGGUUAAGAAAACCCAGCUCUUUGUUGUUUUAUAACAACUGGGGGAAGCUGGUGUGCAUCAUUGGCUGAUAGGAAGAGAAAUUGAAUUCCACAUCUAUGUCCUACUUCAUGCAUGGAUUGCUCUCAACAACCGUGAAACGGAAUACAAAACAGUGAAACAGCUGGGUGCGGUGGCUCAGGACUGUAAUUCCAGCUACAUGAGAGGAUUGCCUGAGGCCAGGAGUUUGAGACCAGCCUGAACAACAUAAUAGACUGGGAGCUCCAUGAGGUCCGAGACAACCUGAAGACGCCCAGCUCAGCAGAGACUGGCUACGGCAAUCACUCAGUAACUAUUUGUUGAAUUGGACAUAAUAGAAGAGCUGAAGAAUUUUAAACAAGUCACCAUCAGUGCAGUGGAUUCCUCAAAGCAAACCUGGAAAUCUCGGCAUGAGUUGGAUUUAAGGCAGUACAUUUUCAGCUCCUGAAAAUUUGAACAGUUUCUCAAGAGAACAACUUGAAACAGAAAGGCAAGGAUGUAGAUGUGGUUGUAGAAGAUGAUGUCUGCGGCCACCAAACUGUCCACUGUGAAGACAAACCAUGCAUGUUUAGUAGGCAGUGGCUCCUCUUCCCUGUGGGGAGUCCCACUGCUUCCCUGGCCUGGGUGUUCUCUGCCGGUAGAUGUUAUUGACAAAAUAAGCAAAGUCCUCUGAUUCUGAGAAUUAGAGUUAAUGAUAGCUCUAGAUUGCCUCUGCCAUGCUAUUUAAAGUCCUGCUUUAUUGUCUGACAUGAGUUCGGCAUCUAUGAGGACUUGUCCAGUGCAAAGUACAAUCUCCACUGAAAGAUAUCACCAGCACAUCUUGUCACUGUGCUGUAGCAAGCUGGGCAGUACAAUGAUGUUGGCAGGAUCCUGUUUAGGUGGAGGAUGGCCACCUGGGCAUCAAGAAUCUUCUACCCUGAUUCCACAUUGACUCCCCAAAGUGGGCUUCAGACAGCUCUUUACUUACGUCUUCUGAUUAAAGCAGCAGACAGGGUCCCAGCUAGAGAAAAGUUCUGGGAGCAGGAGAGGUGUUGGUGGCUUUAAAACCAGGGGUGAAGAUUGAAUUAGGAGGUUAGGCAGGAGUAGGAUCAAAGACUUAGAAAAUGCUUGUUUCCUCCUAUUAUUCUUAUGAGAGCUGAUACGGGGCUUUCAGUUUUGGGGGAGAGCCUUGGAAGAGAAUGAGGGAAUUUAAUCAACUAGCGGGACCUUUCCAACUUACAUUUCCCAGUGUUUGUUGGAUGAUACGUUUGCCUAAUAAGUUAAAGCUUCCAAAAAUAGAAAGGAAAGCUUGGUGACACUAAGCUCUGGCAUGCUGUCAUCUUCUGGCUAGGGGUCUUGUGCUUCUGUUUUUCUAUUUCUGACCAAAGACAUAAAAUGUGUUGUGACCUCUCAGGUAAUGCUGUGGUAUCAUGUCCAAGCAGUAACUAACCAGAGUGGAGUUUUUACAGGUAAAAAAGUAUUGAAUAGCUCAGCAACAGGGAGGACUUAAUGAUAAAUUGCUUUUUCAGAAAAUGACAAGGGGACAGACACUUGCGGUUCUUCCAUUGAGAGCCUUAAGGAAGUUAAGCGAAGCCUCUGCUCACCCCUUCAAGUAACGAUGACCCAUCAGAUCGUGGUCAUAACCAGUAGCAUCUGAGGCACCCCUAAGCUCUCUGGGCCCCAGAUUCCUUGUUAAGUUAAAUGAGGUGACUUCCCAGUUUACCAUUCUAGGGGUUCCUGAGGAGUUAAAAAUGAAGGAGAAAAUGCAACAUGUACCAAGUGAGCAAGAGCUCAAGGCUUAUCUCUGGCACGAAAGUGACCGCUGUCCGUUAGAGAUGUGAUUGCCCUAGAUUUCCUUUAGGAAAUGCAAACAUUGAACUCUGGCCUUCAGGACCCAAGUCCCGGCUUGCAUCUAUUCUAUACACUUUCUGUUAUUUGUUAGGGCUCACAAGGAACAGUUAUUUAUCUUUUAUUUUCUAUUUUUUUUUUAGAGAUGGAGUCUCACUCUGUCUCCCAGGCUGGAGUGCAGUGGUGCCAUCUCAGCUCACUGCAACCUCCACCUCCCGGGUUCAAGCAAUUCUCCUGUCUCAGCCUCCUGAGUAGCUGGGACUACAGGCGUGUGCCAUCAUGCCCGGCUAAUUUUUAGUAUUUUUAGUAGAGGCAGGGUUUCACCAUAUUGGCCAGGCUGGUCUUGAACUCCUGAUCUCAAGUGAUCUACCCUCCUUGGCCUCCCAAACUGCUGGAAUUACAGAUGUGAGCGACCACACCUGGCCCAUUUGUUUUCUUUCAAACCCUUCUGUAAGACCAGUGCUUUAGGUGAACACGUGGACAGAACAAGAUCAUCACUAUUUUGCAAUAUGAAGACCAACUGCGCUGUGACCAGAAAAACAGAGGCAAAAUGUUGAGCUUAAUGAUACCUUUUUAUAAUUUGUAUUUGGUGUUUCUCAAUUUUCCAUUGGAUAGUUUGAGAGAUAAGUACAAGUCAAUGACAUGUUCUCUUUCGUACCCUAUUGUCUAAUCCUGCUAACACACACACACACACACACACACACACUGAUUACCUAAUUUAUCUGUUCCCCGAUUAUUACACUCUCAAUUGCUGCAGAGUCUCAGAAGCAGCAUGGUGUAACAGAAAGAAUAUGAGGCUUAGAAUCCAAAAGCCAGAGUGUGAAUUCCAGCUCCACUGACUUGCUGCGUGACUUGAAGCAAGUCAUUACGUGUCUCUGUUUACUCAUUUUAUGACUUUCCUAUUGCCUCUGUAAUAUAGCACCACAAACGUGUGGACUUAAAACAACAUGCAUUUAUUCUCUUAGCGUUCUGGAGGUCAGGAGUCUGACAUCAAUUUCGUUGGGCUAAAAUCAAGAUGUUGGUAGGACCAAGAUCCCCGUGGAGGCUCUGGGAGAACCCAUUUCCUUGCCUUUGCCAGCUUCUAAUGCUGCAUUCCUUGCAUUCCUUGAUUGUUGACCUCUUCCCCCAUCUUCAAAGCCAGCAGAACAGCACCUUGUUUCAUUGCCUUCUUUACUGUCAAAUCUCCCUCUGCCUUCUUCUUAUAAGAACACUUGUGGUUGCAUUUAGAAGCUGUGAUAAUCCAGAAUAAUAUCUUUAUCUCAAGAUCUUUGACUUGGUCUCUUCUGCAAAGUCUCUUUUGCCACAGAGGGAAAUAUUCACAGGUCCCAGGGGUCAGGCUGUGUACGUCUUUGGGGGACUUUAUUCUGCCUACCACACUCAUCUUUUUUUUUUUUUUUUUUGGAUGGAGUCUUGCUCUGUCACCCAGGCUGGAGUGCAGUGGCAUGAUCUCGGCUCACUGCAACUUCUGCCUCCCCAGUUCAAGCAAUUCUCCUGCCUCAACCUCCCAAGUAGCUGGAAUUACAGGCGCCUGCCACCACGCCCGGCUACUUUUUGUACUUUUAGUAGAGAUGGGGUUUCACUAUGUUGGCCUGGCUGGUCUUGAACUCCUGACCUCAGGUGAUUCCCCCACCUUGGCCUCCCAAAGUGCUGAGAUUACAGACGUGAGCCACCAUGCCCGGCCCCACACUCAUCUAUUAAGUAGAGCUAGGAAUUCCUAUCCUAAGGGACACAAAAAUGAAAAAAGAUAAAAUUUGUGAAGAGGCACAUAAUGAAAGCCCAUACAUGUCACUGAGUUCAGAGGAGGGUGGGUCUGACCUCCCAUUGGCUGGUCUCUGCCUGAUGGACAUCGUGAAGAAGAGAGCCAGGACUAGUGUGGCUGGGGGAUGUUCAGGGGCCAGAGUGGCUUCAGGUGCCAGCAGCCCUGGCCGAAGGAUGACUCCAGGAGCAAGGCUCAGAGCCGAGUGGAAGAAGCUUCAUAAACGCAACUGAGCCAAGCAUGAUGGGAUGUGCCUGUGGUUCCAGCUACUCAGGAGGCAGGUGGGAGGAUGGCUUGAGUCAGAAGUUCGAGGCUGCAGUGAGCUAUGAUCACACUACUGUACUCCAGCCUGGGUGACAGAAUGACACCCUGUCUCUAAAAAGAAAAGGCACCUGGAUGCUCAUGACCGAGAUGGGGUGGGGUGGGUGGGGUGGGACAGCCGCACUUUAUAACUUUGCUUUCAGCAUGAUGUGGAUUAGUGUCUCCCAUGUGGGAAAAUUAUGUUUACCACUUAGAGACCUGAUAGUGCUUGCUUACCCCAUAACGCUGGACGGUGGCAGGCUUAACUCCCCCAUCAAGGGCCUUAAUGUAUUUGGGGCCCUAGUCCUAGCAACAGCAGCAAAUCUCCUUUUUCUUUUCCUCGAGCUGGUUGUUCACCAGGCAGUUGGGAUGUUAAUGGGAAGAGAAGACACACACAAGUCCCUUGUUUUCAAUAAGGCAGUCUGGUCACGUCCUUAGCAGGUUAUUAAUCUUUUUCAAACCCCUCCUCUCCACCAAGUUUUAUGAUCCUGGGAAGGAGAUUCCUACCUAGCAUCCUUAGAGUUAUCGGGGGUUAGGAUCGGUGCAUGCAGUCACUUCCGUGGAAUCAUCAGUAGCCCUCCAGCCUCUGGGGAGAGCUGCCAGUGGUCAGAGAUGUUGGGAAUUACGAGGGAGGAGCUAGGGAGAAGGAACUCACAGUCCCUCAGUCUCUGAAGGUGGCUCCUGGCAGGAGAGGGGGCCAGUCCUAGAUAAGAGCUCUCCCAGGGAAUUCCAAGGGUCCUCCCAAGGUCCAGCCACAAGAUGAGGAAUUACUGUUGGGCUCUUCCUCAGAUGUGCCUGUGAAUUCAUAUCACAGAUGCUUGAUGCAUUUGACAAUUGUUUAAUUGCUUGAGCCCAACUGAUACUCUUUCAGUCACUUUAAGGGAGUGAUUUCAAGUAUGAUCAUUGCCUCAAAUCUGUAUGGCUUUCCUUGCCUUUCAGGUGCUUUAAGAGGGCUUAUGUUCUUUGACUCCCCUAGUAACUCAAAAGGGUGGCUAAGAUGCAACUCUGGAGGUUUCCAAGCUCUCUGCAAAGCCUGCCUUCAGUAGUCUGUGCACCACAAGAAGCAUAACUUUAUUAUCCUCUAGCUGAAUUUACCUCCUGCUUCGAGCCCCUGUUUUCCCAUGUCAUUUUAGGGGUCCAAUGUUUUUCCUGGAGGCAUAUACACACACACACACACACACACACACACACACACACACACACACACACACACAUAUAUACACACACACAUUCCAGGGGCCUCUGAGGUGCCAAGACAUGUGUGGGGUCCAUCUGGUUCACACUGAUGUCCAUGAUCAUUGAGUUCAUUUUUUAUAUCAACUAUGUGACACUUCCUAUAGUUUCCAGUUCCUGGUUAGAAUUUGCAAAGUUGCCGACUAUUUCUUUGAAUAGAGUAGCUAGAUCAUGGGUCUACACCAGUCAUCAAGCAGCGAUUUCCCUGUUGGAAGCUCCAAGCAAAUUGUCAGCUCCAGCAUUCCACACAGCUGUGGGUGCCACACUCCUUUUCCUUUUAAAAGAUGAUGAUCUGCUAGUGGUGAAUGCUCUUGGAGUUUUAUUUGUAGGUUUUUCUUGUUGUCGCAAAUGUCUAUAUUUCAUCUUCCCUCUUGAGGGAUAUUUUCCAUGGGUAGAGGAUCUAGGCUUUUCUUUUGGAUUCCAUUGUGGCUUUAAAAAAAAGUCAGUUGACUGUUUAUUUAUGGCUUCUCUAAAGGUGAUCUCUUUCUUCCUAAGGCUGCUUUAAAAGUUUCCGUUCCCUCCCUCCCUUCCUCCCACCCCAUCCCCCUUCUUCCUUUCCUUCCUCCCUCCCUUCCUCCCUUCUCUUCCUCCCUUUCUCCCUUGUCUUCCUCCUUUUCUCCCAUCCUCCCUUCCUCCCUCUUUCCUUCUUUUUUCCCUUCCUCCCGCCCUCCUUCCUUCUUCCAUCAUUAUAUAUUAAAAUAUUUUCUUUCUUUCUUUUUUUUUUUUGAGAUGGAGUUUCGCUCUUGUUGCCCAGGCUGGAGUGCAACGGUGUGAUCUUGGCUUACUGCAACCUCCACCUCCCUGGUUCAAGCGAUUCACCUGCCUCAGCCUCCCUAGUAGCUGGGAUUACAGGUGCCCGCCACCACACCCAGCUAAUUUUUGUAAUUGUAGUAGAGAUGGGGUUUCACCAUGUGGGCCAGGCUGGUCUUGAACUCCUGAACUCAGGUAAUCCACCCGCCUUGUCCUCCCAAAGUGCUGGAAUUACAGGCAUGAGCCACCACUCCCAGCCUAUUAAAAUAUUUUCUUCUGGGCCUUCCCUCCUUUUACUUCUUUUGAUACCGCCAUCAAAUGCAUGUUAGGUUGACUCACUGUGUACUCUAUUACCCUCUCAUCUGGUUUUUAAUCUUUCUGUCUCCUUAUACUGUAAUCUCAGUGUUUCUUCUGCUUUAAUUUUGGUAUAUGAAUUAUUCAGCUGUGUUCAAAGUGUGGUUAAAGCGACUUAUAUGCUCUUUAAUUUUUAGUUAUUGUACUUUUCACCUCUAGAAGUUCUUCUGUGACACUUCUUAUAGUUUCCAGUUCCUGGUUAGAAUUUGCAAACUUGUUGACUAUUUCUUUGAAAAGAGUAGCUAGAAUUGUUUUAGUCUGUGUAUAGUGAGUUGAAUAUCUGAAACCUCUGUGAGUCUGUUUCUUUUGUCUGCUAGCCCUACUCAUGGCGUCAUGUUUUCCUGGAUGUUUAGUUGGUUGUCUUUGAAUAUGUCCAACUCCAGUUAUUUCUGGGAAUACCCAAAGGCACACCUGUUCACUAUCACCCAGUGAACUGCCAUGUGUUUGUCUCCUGUCAUGGUAACAUUUGCAUUCAGGGAGAGGCCUCUGCUCUCUGCAGAACAGUGUGAAAUCACCUCAUUUUUGCCUUCAAUGAAGGUUGUCUCUUGCUGGUCACCACCACUUCCUCAAAUGACUAAUGCCACUCUUGCUCACAGUGCUAAGGCGCUAAGGAGUUUUCAGAGGGCUAGAGUGAUUCUGCAUCCUCUGGGGUUCUCAGGAAACGAGGCCACAGGGCCAUCUGUGCAUGAGUGACAGUGGGGUGGGGUGGAUGAGCAGUGGCAGUGGUGGGCACCUAUGCUGCUGGCGCCACAGCUUUUUAUAUCUUGGUGAAAACAACGCCUUGCGUUUUCACUUGUAGAUUCUCCGGCUACAUUCCACAAGAACAAAUUCUGGUCACAGAGGCCAGAGUAGACUAUCAGUGUAAUGGCCCUUCCCCUUUGAUGAUAGCAGCUUUUUUCGGGGGAGCAGGGGUGGCCAAACUUCCUAGCCUUAUUUUAUCUUCCUUUCUAGUUCUCCCCAGAGGCUGCUGGGUCCACCUCUCCCUCUGCCAGACAGACAGGCUCAGACAUGCAAGAACGGAAGGGGGUGUGGGGGUUGGUGGGAGGAUUAAGUUGGGGAAAGCCAGUCUUGUCUUUGUAGAUUACCAGAACUGACACACGUACACACACGUACACUCACUCACUCACUCACUCAUCUAUUCAUCUAUUUUUGGCCUAAGUGCCUUUGGACACUUCUUCGGAAAAGCACAUGAACUCUUCGGAGUCUCCUGUUCCACUUGGUAAAUUUCCUAUAGCCACGCACUGAAAGUCCCUGCUGCCCUCCUUCCUCUGAGCUUGUGGGGCCCACAGAUCCCCUGCUCCACUUCCUGCUUCAUUUCAGCUGAUGGUGAGUCCAGGGCAGGCUUGUAGGAAGGGCGGGCUAGGCGUGGGGAACUGCAGCACCCACCCCACCCCCCGCCCCAGUGCUUGUUGCCCCAGCCUCUGUCUCCCUCGCUGUGCCCUUCCCUUAAGCCCCACUCUUGGCCUCCCCAAAGACAGAGUUUGUUCUGUUUUUAUUGAUAGGAUGACACUCCCUCGUUCUAAUACCAUCUGAAUGCCUGAGCAAUUACAUCUUACAACCUCAUGAAAAACACAGCAGCUUGUCACGAUGAAUGAUGUUACCGUGAAUAAUGCAGUUUUGAGUUCAAACUCCUUCUUAUUCCAAGAAUGAGUAAAUAUCCCUAUUCCCUCCCCUCCCCAUUGCAUUUGGGUUUGACAUGACAUGAAUCAUUGUGGUUUUACUCCUGGGUAGAAUUGUUUUUCUGUAUUGCAUUGCCAAUUGAUGGAAGGACAAAAAAAGGAAACUUACCAAUGAGCAGUUUCAGAUGAACUUAAAUUCUCAGAAAUCUUGAAGAAUGAAUGAACUAUAACUUUCUGAAGUUGCAAAAAUGUUCAAGUCGGAAGUGACCCAUGGGAAGCAACCUGGUCCUUAAUUAGGACUGGAAAGAAAACGGAGGCCCAGCGAGGGAACAGUGGCUUCCCCAAGGUCACACUGCAAGUGAGUGGUGGCACUAGUCACCCAGGAGUCCUCCUGACUCCAUGGUAUCCUGACCCCAGACCAGCAGCCUUAUUUGUGGUUAAAGAACGUGGAAAAACAGCUUAUGUUUGAAUUUUAAAAUCAUGCCAGUACUAAAGAUCUGCAUUCCAUGAAUAUUGAGCUUUGCUGUGUGCGGGUUGCUACGAAUUUUGUAACUAUUUUCUCUAAGAGCUCUCAGUAUUUUACAUAUACAAUUCCAUUCUUUAUUGUCCAGGGAAAAAGUUGCAUUUACUGAGCAGUAAGAGGGUGAUUUGAAGUCCCUGGGGUCCCCCACCCUUGUCUUUCUAUGUGAGAUUGUAUUGCAGGGCUCACAUUUAUUCUCUCAGCAGCUCAUUGCACAGACAGUGUAUUUAUUGAGCACCUACUGUGUGCCAGGAGCUAUGUGGUAAGCUAAGCAGACAAAAACUCCUGCUCUCACAAGAAGAAAGAAUAAACAAGCAGACAAUUGCACCUAUAAUGUCAGCCUGGUGUGAUGGCUCACUCCUGGAAUCCUAGCACUUUGGGAGGUGACGAUGGGAGGAUUGCUUUAACUCGGGAGUUCAAGAUAAGCCUGGGCAACCAAGACCCUGUCUCUACAAAAAAAUCAAAAAAUUAGCUGGGGGUGAUGGCAUGAGUCUCUGGUCCCUCGGGACCAGAGGCCUCGGGAGGCUGAGGCGGGUUUAUCACUUGAGCCUGGGAGGUUGAGGCUGCAGUGAGCUGUGAUCACACCACUGCACUCCAGCCUGGGCCACAGAGCGAGACCCUGUCUCUAAAUAAACAAACAACCUAAUGUCAAGUUAGGAAGUGUGGCAAAAAGGAACAAAGUCAGGGUGACUGCCAUUCUAGAAAGGGUGGUGAGGGAAGGUCUCCUUGAGCAGAUCCUGUGGGAGUGGAAGGGUAAGUCACGAGACUCUCUGGAGGAAGAAGAUUCCAGGUGGAAAUGCCUUAGUGGGUGUUAAACGCUUUAACGGGUGUUAGCCAGAAAGCCAGAAUGGCUGGAGCUGAGGGAGUAGAGGAGGCGGCAUAGAAAAUGAGGUCAGAGAUGGAGGCAGGGCCGGAUCACAGAGGGGCACAGAGAACGAGGAGGGAAUUGGAUUUUUGGAAAAGAUUGUGGCAAAAUACAAAAUAUAAAAUACAAAAAUAAAAUAUAAACCAUAAAAUGUACUACCUUUACCAUUUUAAGUAUGCAGUUCAGUAGUGUUAAAUACAUUUACAUCAUUGUUCAACCCGUCUCCAGAACUCUCUGCAUCUUGCAAAAUUAAAACUCUAUGCCAUUUCAACAGUUCGCAUUUCCUCUUCCCUCUCGUUCAUGGCAACCGCCAUUUUUCUUUCUGUCUCUGUAAAUGUUAGUACUUGGGGUAUCUCAUCUAAGUGGAAUCACACAGUGUGUGUCCUUUUGUGACAGACUUAUUUCACUUUGCAUAAUGUCCUUAAUAUUCAUCCAUGUUGUAGCAUGUGUCAGAUUUUCCUUCCUUCUUAACAUUGUGUAAUAUUCCAUUGUACGCAUAGACUACAUUUAGCUUAUCUGUUCACCUGUGGAUGGACACUUGGGUUGCUAUAGUGAAUAAUAUUGCUGUAAAUAUGGGUAUACGAUUAUCUCUUUGUGACCCUGCUUUUAAUUGUUUUGGAUAUAUACCCAGAAAUGGAAUUACUGAAUCAUGUGGAGAUUCUGUUUUUGAUUUAUUUAUUUAUUUUUAAUUUUUGAGAUGGAGUCUCGUUCUGUCACCCAGGCUGGAGUGCAGUGACACGAUCUCUGCUCACUGCAACCUCUGCCUCCUUGCACCAUUAAUUCUGAAAAUGCAGGCCUGGAUCCAACCGCCUUUGGGGACGGGUACCUGCCCACAGGAAGAGGUUGAGGAGACAAUAAUGUCACGAGAAUCAUCAUCUUUGACUGGGAAAUGGUGUGCAGAGUUUCUGGUGCCUUCUGAAGUGAUUGUCGCAUCUCAGCCUCCCUAGUAGCUGGGAUUACAGGCAUUUGCCACCAAGCCCGGCUAAUUUUUGUAUUUUUAGUAGAGACGGGGUUUCAUCAUGUUGGCCAGGCUGGUCUCAAACUCCUGACCUCAGGUGAUCCACCUGCCUCAGCCUCCCAAAGUGCUGGGAUUAUAGGUGUGAGCCAUGCACCUGGCCUGAUUGGUUAUUUAAAUUCUGAGAUGGGGUAUACUAAUGUUUGAAAACCACAGGGAUGGGAUAGGUAUAGGUGGGGAGGGAGAGCAAAAGUGGUAUUUAGAAUAUGUUACGUUUGAAAAACCUAAUACACAUUCUACAUCCAAGUGGACAUAGAUGGAGUUAUUUGA
rnacentral:lncRNA from 1 species